GGUGCCUUGCAGCUAGAAGCUUUGUGAUGCCUGGGUGAGGAGGAAUUAAUUAGCAGCCUUCUUGCUACGUGGUGGUGUCCUCUUUCGCUGCUCUCAGAUUGCAAAGGCUUGAAUAAUACCGCCCACCUUCCCAGAGAGGUCAAGUUACUGUUUCAGGCACUGCAGUUAAAUAAUGUACCGUGUGCCAGGGAGAAACGGUGGACUAACAGCCCUGAUGGCUCUCAGGUUCCUGAAUGUGGUGUCAAAUGCUGACACACUGAAUUAGCUGAAUCUGCUGCAUUCUUUCAGGUAUUUAAAAAGGCCUAAAGGAAAUUAGAGACUGGCACUUCCGUUACAGUCUUUUAAGCUCUGGUUUGAUUUCUUAAUUGCCAUAUCAUCAGCAGCAUCACUCCUCAUCAGCUCUGCCUGCACAUGGUGAGACCUGGGUUGCCAAUCUGGUGAGCUGGCCAAGGAGUUGCCAAAUCCUUCUUCCCUCCCAAACCAAAUGACUGUUUCCCUUCCCACCAGCUUUAUGAUCGGUUCUCGGUAGGACUUGUUUGGAGAAUAAAAUGUAACUGAGGAGUCUGCUUGGGACUAGGUGACCUGAGUACUGUCCCUCCAGAUUGUGACCUGAUGGGCUGUGGCUAGGCUGGUCCCAGAGAUGCAGGUAGAGUCUCCUAAAUUCAUUGUAC